GUGAGGUGGAGCUGUGUGUUGAGAGUGUUUGGCAGUCUGAACAACUCGGUGAUGCUGCGAAGAUGUUCAUGUGGUGUGAACACUGAUGUUGACUCAGAGACCACAGAAUACGAAGGUGGAGACCCCAUUGAGACCAAAGAAGGAAGCAGAGGUAUUCAGAACCAGGCUUAAUGUGUGGCAAGGGGACAGAAUGAUGGACAGCUGGGGCAAAGGACUUCAAGACAUCUCCAAGCCCUCCAGGCAAGCAAACAGGGUGGAGCAAGCAGCCACCCAGAUCAAGCACCAAGGGGUCAAGUCUCUGAUAAGAGCACAUAUGCUAAUCUAACUGGGCCAGUAGGGGAGUCCAAGGAAAGUGUGUCUUUAGCAAGCGGUUACUAUGACAGCAGUUUCAGUAUCUAUAAUGUAAGGAUACUCAAACCAUACUCCUUUAGGUAAACAUUACCAAGACGCCUGGGUAACACACUUAGGAAAGCAGACAUUAUUCAAGCGCACCCAUCUCAAACACCCGCAACACAACACAAGUCAAUACAAGUAUUUCAGAUGACUUACUAUUACACUGUGCAACACAUAAUAAUGCUUUAAGAAGUGGAUUGUUGCCCUUGGGAAAGCUCCCACUUAAGAAAGAAUAAAGUCACUGUGGUGUAUGUAUGCAUUUGCUGUCACCACAUGAAUGGAGGUGCAGGUGAUAUACUGAGGAGGAUCACUCAGGGAUUUAAUUGAGUAGCUGUUACAACAGAUUUCACUACUGAUAUGAUUAGUAAACAUUCCUUAAAGAGGCAAUCUGCAAUUAAUAUACUUUGGGACUUUUAUAUGAAUGAUAUACUGUGCACUGAGUAUUCCAAACAUUAGGAACACCUCAGAGCAGCCUCAAUUUCUUCAGACAAAUACUCUACAAAGUGUCGAAAGCGUUCCACAGGAAUGCUAGCCUAUGUUGGCUUGAAUGCUUCCCACUGUUGUGUCAAGUUGGCUAGAUUUCCUUUGGGUGGUGGAUCAUUCUUGAUACGCACGGGAAACUGUUGAACUUGAAAAACCCAGCAGCGUUGCAGUUCUUGACACAAACCGGUGCACCUUGCACCUACUACCAUACCCCGUUCAAAGGCACUUACAGUUUCUGUCUUGCCCAUUCAAAUCAAAUUUAUUUAUAUAGCCCUUCUUACAUCAGCUGAUAUCUCAAAGUACUGUACAGAAACCCAGCCUAAAACCCCAAACAGCAAGCAAUGCAGGUGUAGAAGCACGAUGGCUAGGAAAAACUCCCUAGAAAGGCCAAAACCUAGGAAGAAACCUAGAGGAACCAGGCUAUGAGGGGUGGCCAGUAAUCUUCUGGCUGUGCCGGGUGGAGAUUAUAACAGAACAUGGCCAGGAUGUUCAAAUGUUCAUAAAUGACCAGCAUGGUCAAAUAAUAAUAAUCACAGUGGUUGUCGAGGGUGCAGCAGGUUAGCACCUCAGGAGUAAAUGUCAGUUGGCUUUUCAUAGCCGAUCAUUGAGAGUAUCUCUACUGCUCCUUCUGUCUCUAGAGAGUUGAAAACAGCAGGUCUGGGACUGGUAGCACGUCCGGUGAACAGGUAAGGGUUCCAUAGCCGCAGGCAGAACAGUUGAAACUGGAGCAGCAGCACGGCCAGGUGGACUGGGGACAGCAAGGAGUCAUCAUGCCAGGUAGUCCUGAGGCAUGGUCCUAGCGCUCAUGUCCCCUGAGAGAGAGAAAGAGCUAAAGAGAGAAUUAGAGAGAGCAUUCUUAAAUUCAUACAGGACACUGGAGAAAUACUCCAGAUAUAACAAACUGAAACGAGCCCCCCGACACAUAAACUACUGCAGCAUAAAUACUGGAGGCUGAGACAGGAGGGGUCAGGAGACACUGUGGCCUCAUCCGAUUAUACUCCCAGACAGGGCCAAACAGGCAGGAUAUAACCCCACCCACUUUGCCAAAUCACAGCCCCCACACCACUAGAGGGAUAUCUUCAACCACCAACUUACCAUCCUGAGAGAAGGCAGAGUAUAGCCCACAAAGAUCUCCGCCACUGCACAACCCAAGGGGGGCGCUUGAAUGGCACACAUACACAAUCCAUGUCUCAAUUGUCUCAAGGUUUAAAUAUCCUUCUUUAACCUGUCCCCUCCCCUUCAUCUACACUGAUUGAAGUGGAUUUGACAAGUGACAUAAAUAAGGGAUCAUAGCAUUCACCUGGAUUCACCUGGUCAGUUAUUAAUGUUUCAUAUACUCAGUGUAUAUACGUAUUAAUUCUUGAAGAAUACAACUUUUAAAUGACUCAUGAGCCUACUUCAACUGUCGUACCCCAUCAGAACCCAAAAAUAAGCUUAUAUUACUCCAUUGUUUGUAAACAAUGUAAUUGAACACAAACCCUUACACCUCAAAACAUAGUUAAAACUAUAACUAUGAUCUUAUGGAUGGUCUGUCCUUGCAUCCAGUUUGAGAGUAGUUACAUUUCUCCAGCCCCAUCCCUCAUCUGUUUACCAAAAUCAGUGGCUGGGGGGUCCAGUUUAUUAUUGUUUGAAUCACAGAUUGCCCCUUUUAGCAUCAAAUUACUUUCUGACCUAUAUUUACAAUUUCCUUCAACUCUCACAAUUUCCUUCAACUCGCCCAUUACAAUUUUGCUUUCAAUUUUGACCAACACCAGUCAGGGAAUGAAAAUAAAUAAAGUGGGCAAAUUGUGCAAGCAAGCAGUUACUGCAUUCCAAACAUUUCCAAAGUUUGAGCAUAGCCUUGCUUCGUUAGCUUUGUUUGGAUUUCACAUGGACUUAUAUCAACUGCCAUUCAGAGCACUGUUAACAUCACAUUGUAUGUGUGAGGUAUUAUUGAUUAUUGAUUAUUCUUCUAUGGUUGAUAUGCAUGCCAUUGUUGAAUAGAUGAUUUUCAGUUUGCCAUGCCUGCUGUUUACAAUCUUGUGAUUUAACAGACAGAAUGAUGUGCUUGAAAUCUUUCGUUUCAUAUCAGUGUAAUAUAAUUUUGGCAGCCUAAGAGCUCUAUUUGUACAAUCCAAAUGCAAACGUGAAUCUUAGUGCAUUCGCAGAAAUAUUUGAGCUAUUUUGAUGGCAGGAAUUAUGGGCGCAACCCCUGGGGUUAGCGUAAAGCGGCAGGCUUUCUAUCGAUUCAUAAAUUGUAGGUGUGACGAGGGCUUUUUAUGUGGUUGCUUCAAGUUGUGUGUUUAUGGUGUUUGAUGUCCAAUUCGCAAUGAAGGCAUGGAUGUUCGUCCUAUCCAUUGAAGAUAGUUGAUUAAAUAUUAUAGGGCUACAGUAACCGUAUAACAGGCCUAGCUAUAACAAAGAUGUAUAAAAAAAAUACAAAAUAAAUACAAAAAAAGUAGGCUAGUUGGCUUCAACAUGGAAAUUAAUUUGGCUACAUAUAGCAUUUGCAUUUCGAAAAUUGCAUUUCAUGUCCGAGCCAUGGACAUUGCCUUCCAAACAUGAUAAUAAGAUUAGGCUACCUUCGCCGUUGAUAUGACCCGUAUGGUGACUUGCCAGGUAAAGAAUUGUAAAGGUAAACAAACAAACAGGCAAACAUCAAUAGUGAAUUCAGCGCCACAGACAGAAUUACCACGAUUUUACAUUUAGGUCCAACAGAGGAAAGUGGAUUUUUUUACAAAAUUAUCAACGAAAAACAAUAAGCAAUCUUUUUUUUUAUCAACAAUGCUUCCAAACAGGCUUCCUGCAGUCACUUAGAAACCUGGCACUUUCCCAUCCGAACACAAUAGGCAUAAAUAUAUACAGUGGGGCAAAAAAGUAUUUAGUCAGCCACCAAUUGUGCAAGUUCUCCCACUUAAAAAGAUUAGAGAGGCCUGUAAUUUUCAUCAUAUGUACACUUCAACUAUGACAGUCAAAAUGAGAAAAAAAAAUCCAGAAAAUCACAUUGUAGGGGUUUUAAUGAAUUUAUUUGCAAAUUAUGGUGGAAAAUAAGUAUUUUUUCCACCAUAAUUUCCACCUCUCUCAUCUUUUUAAGUGGGAGAACUUGCACAGUUG